rnacentral:rRNA from 1 species
UACGAAGGGGGCUAGCGUUGCUCGGAAUCACUGGGCGUAAAGCGCACGUAGGCGGACUCUUAAGUCGGUGGUGAAAUCCUGGAGCUCAACUCCAGAACUGCCUUCGAUACUGGCGACCUUGAGUCCGGGAGAGGUGAGUGGAACUCCGAGUGUAGAGGUGAAAUUCGUAGAUAUUCGGAAGAACACCAGUGGCGAAGGCGGCUCACUGGCCCGGUACUGACGCUGAGGUGCGAAAGCGUGGGGAGCAAACAGG